UGGGCUAGAGAGGGGAAGGAUGUGAUGUGAGCAGAUGGUUCUCACUCAUUCUCCUCUGUCCAG
ensembl:miRNA MIR6758 microRNA 6758